AUUGAACGCUGGCGGCCUGCCUAACACAUGCAAGUCGAGCGAGCGGCGGACGGUUGCGUACUGUAUAGUGACUGUCCGUUAGAGGCGGAUAACUACUGGCACCGGUAGCUACUCCCGCAUACUAUCGGCUAACCUAUUGGGGAUUAGCUAGUCGGGGAGGUAAUGGCCCACCUAGGCGACGAUCACUAGCUGGUCUGAGAGGAUGAUCAGCCACACUGGGACUGAGACACGGCCCAGACUCCUACGGAGGCAGCAGUGGGGAAUAUUGCACAAUGGGCGCAAGCCUGAGGCAGCCAUGCCGCGUGUAUGAAGAAGGCCCUAGGGUUGUAAAGUACUUUCAGUCGGGAGGCGUUACCGAAAGAAGAAGCACCGGCUAACUCCGUGCCAGCCGCCGCGGUAAUUC
rnacentral:rRNA from 1 species